GUAGUAAUCCAGAAAGGUCAAAUACAGGAGCUAAAAUGGCAGUCCACGAAGGCAAAGAGCACCAUCACCACCACAACGACAGCAGCCACCAGCCGGGGACCCAUGAACAAAAGAGAGUACGUAUACAGAACAGAUAUGGUGAGAAGCUUGUGGGGAUAUUGCAUGAAACGGGGUCGAAGGAGGUUGUGAUUAUCUGUCAUGGAUUUAGAUCUUCAAAGGAUCGCAUUCCCAUGGUGAAUCUAGCAGCUGCUUUUGAAAAAGAAGGAAUUAGUGCCUUCCGCUUUGAUUUUGCUGGGAAUGGGCCUUUCAUUUUCUUUGAUGCAAAGUAGUAGGGCACUCACUUCUCAAACCUUUACAUAUUAGAACUUAAGCUGGUUGGAGCCAAUACAUAGCCAAAGAUUGGUGCAAAAGCUUGUAAAAGAGUUGAAGAAGACAAUAUUUCUUCAUUUGAGCACAAAAAGCUAUCUCCACAUUCUUUUCUUUAGUUGAUUUUUGUACGAACUCAUUCAUGACAAACAUGUGGUAUUCUUGCUUCCCAGAGAAAGUGAAGGAUCAUUUCAGUAUGGUAACUACCAUAGAGAAGCAGAUGACUUGCGUGCAGUAAUUCAACACUUCCAGGAAGAGAAAUGUUUUGUAGCUGCACUUGUCGGGCAUAGUAAAGUUGAGAUUUUUUAGGAGGAAAUGCUGUGCUGUUGUAUGCUUCAAGGGAUAAUGACAUACAAAUUAUUGUCAAUAUCGCUGGCCGCUUCAAUCUUGAGCGAGGAAUUGAAGGUCGCUUGGGUAAAGACUUUCUGGAGAAAAUUGAGCAGAAUGGAUUUAUUGACGUCAAGAACAGAAGGGGUAGCUAAGACCGUGAUUCAUCUUCUUGUAUGAGUUUGGUUUUGUACUCAAGUGCUGCAUGUUGGUUUCCUUGUAUUGUCCAGAAAGAAAUCACUUAUGGAAAAAUUGUGUAUGAGAGGUAAGGAAAUAAAUAAUUGCCUUCGAGCCAAGUUAUGUCUCACAUGGGGUAUUUCUAUGUAGGAAAGACCAAGUAUCGUGUAUCUAAGGAAAGUUUGAUGGACCGUCUAGCAACUGAUACUCGUGCAGCUUGCCAAAAGAUCGACAGAAACUGCAGGGUGUUGACAGUUCAAGGUUCCGUGGAUGAAUUUGUUCCUGUCAGUGAUGCCAAGGAGUUUGCAAAGCACAUACCUAAUCAUAUACUACACAUUUUUGAAGGCGCAGAUCAUUAUUUCACUUCGCAUCAACAUGAAUUGGCUUCAGUUGUACUGGAUUUUGUAACGAAUGGGCUUACAGAAUGCAGAAGAGUGCAUAGAUUUAUCCAUUCCCGAUUCUGAUACGAGGAUAGUGAUUAUGGUUCUGGACAAAUGGAUUUUAAGAGAAUCCAGUUACAUGUCUGACUCUGUUGCUUCAUACCAACCGUAACAUGGUUCCUGGAUGACAACAUUGAUUCCCCCCUCAUGGUACCAACCAACGGUGAUAGCUGAAGACUACCUCGAUGGAUAAUGAUGCAGUUAGGGUCUUUAAGAACUAGGGAUUAGUACAUGGACUGUAGUUUACUGAAAAACAUGUUACAGCACAAUAUGUCAAAAAAACAAAAACGCUGUGCAGAAGAUAAAAUAUAUGAACCAUCUCUUUCAUAUGUUUUUUCCUCAGUGAGUCGAAGAUUCAAAUUUAGUAUUCAGUUUUGCU